rnacentral:rRNA from 1 species
CCUACGGGUGGCAGCAGUGGGGAAUAUUGGGCAAUGGGCGCAAGCCUGACCCAGCAACGCCGCGUGAAGGAAGAAGGCUUUCGGGUUGUAAACUUCUUUUGUCAGGGACGAAGCAAGUGACGGUACCUGACGAAUAAGCCACGGCUAACUACGUGCCAGCAGCCGCGGUAAUACGUAGGUGGCAAGCGUUAUCCGGAUUUACUGGGUGUAAAGGGCGUGUAGGCGGGACUGCUCUUGGAACUGCGCGGCUGGAGUGCAGGAGGGGCAGGCGGAAUUCCUGGUGUAGCGGUGAAAUGCGUAGAUAUCAGGAGGAACACCGGUGGCGAAGGCGGCCUGCUGGACUGCGACUGACGUUGAGGCCCGAAAGCGUGGGGAGCAAACAGGAUUAGAUACCCUAGUAGUC